AAGUCGUAACAAGGUUUCCGUAGGUGAACCUGCGGAAGGAUCAUUAACACGUAUCCAACGUUAAAACCCCCCCGUGAACUUCAGUGUGAUCGUACGCUUUGUUAGAAAGUAGCAAUCCCUGGUAAAUCAUCGCCGAACAGUUUUGAUUCAGGGACUUCUGCGAAGAGUGUGCUUGUAGCGCGAGGCAAGUGGCCUGGCAUCCUUGUCUAAAAGUGUCAAGGGUGGCAAUCACGAUCGCUAGAGGCCGACACGGCCGGCGACCGGACACCGGCUCCCCUUAAUAACCUUUGCAUGAAAACGCGCCUGCGCUUAAUUGUGCGGACUGUUAACAAUGGAUAUCUUGGUUCUCA
rnacentral:misc_RNA from 1 species